GUAGGUGAACCUGCGGAAGGAUCAUUACCGAACCGUCGACACGAGUUGUUGCUGGUCCUCAAAUGGGGGCAUGUGCACGCUCUGUUUACUCAUCCACUCACACCUGUGCACCCACUGUAGUUCUGUGGCUUGGGGGGCUCUGUCCUCUUUGCUGUGGUUCUAUGUCUUUACACACACACUUGUAAUAAAGUUUCAUGGAAUGCAUGACGCGUCUAACGCAAUACAAUACAACUUUCAGCAACGGAUCUCUUGGCUCUC
rnacentral:misc_RNA from 1 species